rnacentral:misc_RNA from 1 species
AAGUAAAAAGUCGUAACAAGGUCUCCGUUGGUGAACCAGCGGAGGGAUCAUUACAGAGUUGCAAAACUCCCACAAACCAUCGCGAAUCUUACCCGUACGGUUGCCUCGGCGCUGGCGGUCCGGAAAGGCCCUCGGGUCCUCCCGGAUCCUCGGGUCUCCCGCUCGCGGGAGGCUGCCCGCCGGAGUGCCGAAACUAAACUCUUGAUAUUUUAUGUCUCUCUGAGUAAACUUUUAAAUAAGUCAAAACUUUCAACAACGGAUCUCUUGGUUCUGGCAUCGAUGAAGAACGCAGCGAAAUGCGAUAAGUAAUGUGAAUUGCAGAAUUCAGUGAAUCAUCGAAUCUUUGAACGCACAUUGCGCUCGCCAGUAUUCUGGCGAGCAUGCCUGUUCGAGCGUCAUUUCAACCAUCAAGCUCUGCUUGCGUUGGGGAUCCGCGGCUGCCCGCGGUCCCUCAAAAUCAGUGGCGGGCUCGCUAGUCACACCGAGCGUAGUAACUCUACAUCGCUAUGGUCGUGCGGCGGGUUCUUGCCGUAAAACCCCCCAUUUCUAAGGUUGACCUCGGAUCAGGUAGGAAUACCCGCUGAACUUAAGCAUAUCAAU